rnacentral:lncRNA from 1 species
GAGGCGAGCCGGAGCGCGUCUCUCCAGACGCGGGCUCCGAGUCACGACUGGGCUCUCGCUGGCAUCCACUGGCAACAGCGUUGCAGCCCCUCUGCAGGUUUGACGUCAGGGAAGGCGAGAUUUUUCCACACGACAACCCUGGAAUUAAUGGGAGAAAACCCAUUAUACAUUAGCUCAGCCACCAAGACAUAAUGUAUUUUACACACGCUAAAUCAUGCUCCGCUCGCCCAACACAUUAACAAGAUGCAUCUUAUAAACUUGGUCUCUUAAUGUUGUUGGCAAGGUGGCAGUAUUGCCUACAAGUACAAAAAC